UUUGUAUUUCUUAGAAGUGUUCCCCUUUUGUUGCAAGUUAAAAAGUCGAGAGCAGGUGAGCAUCGGAAAUGUGUAAGUAUGUUUAAAGAAGCAAAAUGUCGCCAUCUGUCAGUGGCUCAAGUCCACUGCAUUAAGGAUCCGUCGUCAUCUGACACUCAAGGACUGGUAUUGGCAACCACAGAGGCUGUCAAAAAGAACGUUCUUUUAUACUAUAUUGUGUGCUUAUGAUAUUUAUAGUAUUGUUUGCCUGCAAUUAGAUCUUUAUGAUGUGACCAUUUGUUAUUUCUGCUUGCGUAUGCUAAAUGUAUGUUUUGAGUUAGUUUGCUUCCCUUGUAUUAUGAUGUGUGAAGGUUUGUCCAAUCCUAGCAUUACCACUAAUGGUCUGUACAAUCAAAAGCUUUCAAAAGCAAAAAAAAAAAAGAGCCAUGCAAAAAUGCACCAAAAUGGCAUCAUGAGGAGGUCUGACUAAUACUCGUACAUCAGGAGUAAUAAAGUAUGAUCUAAUUGACCAGAUUAUAAAAUUGCCCUGUCCAAAUCAGUAAACUAUUCAAUGAGUU